CAGUAGCCACGGUAAUACGAAGGGGGCUAGCGUUGUUCGGAUUUACUGGGCGUAAAGGGCGCGUAGGCGGACUGAUAAGUCAGGGGUGAAAUCCCAAGGCUCAACCUUGGAACUGCCUUUGAUACUGUUUGUCUUGAGUUCGAGAGAGGUAAGUGGAACUGCGAGUGUAGAGGUGAAAUUCGUAGAUAUUCGCAAGAACACCAGUGGCGAAGGCGGCUUACUGGCUCGAUACUGACGCUGAGGCGCGAAAGCGUGAGGAGCAAACAGGAUUAGAUACCCCCGUAGUCCCUGUCUCUUAUAC
rnacentral:rRNA from 1 species